UCCUUCUAAACAGAUACAGUGGUCUGCUGACUCUUCCGCCUCUGCCCUGCCCCCAACCCCCAGAUGCAUUUCUAUUAAAACUAUGGUCUUGUACACAAUGGAUGUAAAUAUUUAAUCUUUCUAUUUGUAUGUUUUCCCAUGUUUAUUUUUCAGUUGCCUGCCUGCCCUUUUUGUGUUUAUCUUGUUAAGUACUGCCAGGCUUAAAAUACAGACCCCUGGAGGGCAAGAUUAUUAUCUGUAUGGAAUGUGCUGCAGAGCAUUCACUCAGGCCUCAUACUCUUAUCCACAAAUUAUUUUUGAAGACACUCCGUGCCUUUCUGAUUUUAUAAUUUUGAGUAGCUUCAGCCACAUGACUCCUGGCUUUUUGCCAUUGUGGUCUCAGAGCUCCACAACUUGGAUCAAGGGCAUGGAUGGAAAAACCUUCAUGUUAAGCUAAGCAGAACCUAGUUGUUUCCUUUUAAAACUUCUCUCCAGCAAGAGUGACUUGCAGUUUGCACACUGACACUUACAUUCUCCGGAGUGCGGAAGAAGUAUACUGAAAUAAAUUAUCCCGACAUAUACUUUUGUGCAUGAAACAGUUGGAAAGGACUGCUCUAAUUUCCGUAAUGAACACAGGAAGCACAAUUCAAAGUUUAUGCCCUGGCUAUGGGCAGAAAUGGAAGGCGGGAGAGCUGGGAAGCCAGAACACACAGCAUUCGGCUUCCAGUGUGUCGUGUAGAUGGGAAGAAAUCCUAAUGAGAAGGUGCCUAGUGUGUCCGGCCUAGAAGGGAUGCUCCUGACGUCCUAGCUCGUCCCAGUCCGCCUGCAAAAGCUCCGGAGGUCCCGAUUUCUCCCCCGAGUCACGGGCACUCGACAGUGAAUGGGAAGGAAAGCACUCAGGCGUUCCGCCCUAUCCGAAUAAAAAGUCCAGACGUC